rnacentral:rRNA from 1 species
CCUACGGGAGGCAGCAGUGGGGAAUAUUGCACAAUGGGGGAAACCCUGAUGCAGCGACGCAGCGUGCGGGAUGACGGCCUUCGGGUUGUAAACCGCUUUCAGCAGGGAAGAAGCGCAAGUGACGGUACCUGCAGAAGAAGUACCGGCUAACUACGUGCCAGCAGCCGCGGUAAUACGUAGGGUACGAGCGUUGUCCGGAAUUAUUGGGCGUAAAGAGCUCGUAGGUGGUUGGUCACGUCUGCUGUGGAAACGCAACGCUUAACGUUGCGCGUGCAGUGGGUACGGGCUGACUAGAGUGCAGUAGGGGAGUCUGGAAUUCCUGGUGUAGCGGUGAAAUGCGCAGAUAUCAGGAGGAACACCGGUGGCGAAGGCGGGACUCUGGGCUGUAACUGACACUGAGGAGCGAAAGCAUGGGGAGCGAACAGGAUUAGAUACCCUGGUAG